rnacentral:rRNA from 1 species
GAUAUGGUCAAUGGCCUAACGGCUGAACCAGCAACUUGGAGGAAUGUAUAAAGAAAUUUACUCAUAUUAGUAAUUGGUAUGAGAUUAACUAAGUUAAUUAAAAUUCUAAAUAAAUACUGAUUAUGACAGUAUUUACAAAUGUCUUGACCAAAACACGUGCCAGCAGUCGCGGUAAGACGUGAAAGAUAAGUGUUAUUCAUGUUUAACAGGUUUAAAGGGUACCUAGACAGUUAAUUAAACACUCCUAUGUAUUAAUUGACUAGAGUUUGAUGUGAGAAGGGUUGAGUACGGUAGUGGAGAGAUAGAAUUUUAUGAUACUGCUAUGGAACUGGUAAAGGCGAAGGCAACCUUCUAUGUAAAAACUGACGUUAAGGGACGAAGGCUCGUGUAAAAAAACAGGAUUAGAUACCCUGGUAUUUUGGGCAGACAAUGAUGAGUGUCAUAUGUAAGAAAAAUUUUUGUGUAUAAACGAAAGUGUAAGCACUCCACCUCAAGAGUAACAUGGCAACAUGGGAACUGAAAUCAUUAGACCGUUUCUGAAACUCGUAGUGAAGUAUGUCGUUUAAUUUGAUAAUCCACAAAUAACCUUACCACAACUUGAAUUGCUUUAGUUUACUAAUGUAACAAGCGUUGCACGGCUGUCUCCAGUCAAUGUUGUGAAACCGUGGUUUGAUCCAUUGAAUUGACGUAAACCCUUACUUUAUUUAUUAUAAAGUAGAUCGCCGAUAUAUUGGUAUUGAUAUAUGGGACUAAGACAAGUCAUCAUGACCUGAACGUUGUGGGCUACAAACGUGCUGCAGAGACCUUAACAAAAAGAUGCAAAAUUGUGAAAUUUAGCUAAUCUAGAAAAAGGAGAUUGGAUUGUAGUCUG